rnacentral:lncRNA from 1 species
UCCAGGAUACAAUAGAGGCAGACCAUUCUGAGGAAAUGUCAAGUAGCACUUAGCACCUGCCCGCCCUCCACCUUCUCCACCACCCAGCAGGAGCGGGGCGGCCUGGAUCUGUUUUCUGCCCCUGACCAGGGGGCCGCGUCUUCGGCAAAGUCUUCGGGGUGAGAGGUCCGGCUCCUGGAGGACAGCGGGAUGGGAGAGUCCCGUUCACACCCAGCCCCGCAGAGCCGGAUAGAAACGCUGCCACUGCCGACUCCAUGCUGCCGGGAAGUGCACUGUGGAGGCCACUUUCUGGAAAGAAGAAACCGUCUGAACACAAAGUUGCUCAAGCCAUGUUCAUCUAUCUGCCAGGGAAACGGAGGCCCUGAGUGCCAGAGUCCAAGUCACCCUGCAAGAGAAAACUCUGGUGGAGCCCAGGGUGUCCAGCCCCUGUCCACCCAGCCGCCGUGGUCAAGGUUAAUAAGGGCAAGGGGCCAAGCAGAACCGCCUACAAGGAACCGAGUGUCCACAAAGCAGGAAGCGAAGAACGUUUCUCCUACCUAGAGCGCAGCCGUUUUGCGGAAGGCACAGUCCGGGCUCCGGGAGCCAAGCAGGGAUCCGGGCCUCGUUGCGGAGGGGACGCCCGGGCUGAGCUGAGCUCACUUGCUGGCGGCGGCAGCCCCUGCAGUCAUGGGGUCACCGGCUUGUGGAGAGGGGCUGGCGCUGUUCCUUGGCCCCGCUCCCCGCCCGCAAAGGGCCGGGAGGUCGGGCUCCCGGCAGUGUCCAGGCUCUCGCCCGCCGGUGCCUGAGCCGUACCCACCGCGUCCCCUCCGCCCCAACAGCUGGUGCU